rnacentral:misc_RNA from 1 species
GAUGAAGAACGCAGCGAAAUGCGAUAAGUAAUGUGAAUUGCAGAAUUCAGUGAAUCAUCGAAUCUUUGAACGCACCUUGCGCCCUUUGGCUAUUCUGAAGGGCAUGCCUGUUUGAGUAUCAUGAACACCUCAACUCUCAUGGUUUGCCAUGAUGAGCUUGGACUUUGGGGGUCUUGCUGGCCUACGGUCAGCUCCUCUCAAAUGAAUCAGCUUGCCAGUGUUUGGUAGAGUCGCAGGUGUGAUAACUAUCUACGCUUGUGGUUUUCUGCCAGAUAACCUUCAGUUAUGGAGGUUCGCUGGAGCUUAUAAAUGUCUCUCCCCAGUGAGGACAGCUUUUUGAACGUUUGAUCUCAAAUCAGGUAGGACUACCCGCUGAACUUAAGCAUAUCAAUAAGCGGAGGA